rnacentral:rRNA from 1 species
AACGAACGCUGGCGGCAUGCCUAACACAUGCAAGUCGAACGAGACCUUCGGGUCUAGUGGCGCACGGGUGCGUAACGCGUGGGAACCUGCCUUUAGGGUCGGAAUAACUCAGAGAAAUUUGAGCUAAUACCGGAUGAUGUCUUCGGACCAAAGAUUUAUCGCCUUUAGAUGGGCCCGCGUUGGAUUAGCUAGUUGGUGGGGUAAAGGCCUACCAAGGCGACGAUCCAUAGCUGGUCUGAGAGGAUGAUCAGCCGCACUGGGACUGAGACACGGCCCAGACUCCUACGGGAGGCAGCAGUGGGGAAUAUUGGAACAUGGGCGAAAGCCUGAUCCAGCAAUGCCGCGUGAGUGAUGAAGGCCUUAGGGUUGUAAAGCUCUUUUACCCGAGAUGAUAAUGACAGUACCGGGAGAAUAAGCUCCGGCUAACUCCGUG